UGUGGGAGCGAGCCUGCUCGCGAAGAAGCCGUGUCAGUCAAUAUUUUUGUCAACUGACACACUGCUUUCGCGAGCAGGCUCGCUCCCACA
rnacentral:antisense_RNA from 1 species